rnacentral:rRNA from 1 species
UGGUCAUUUAGAGGAAGUAAAAGUCGUAACAAGGUUUCCGUAGGUGAACCUGCGGAAGGAUCAUUAUUGAAAGGGAAACCCAUGGCUAAGAUAGUGCUUUGCUGGUCCUUAGGGACAUGUGCAUGCCUUCUGGUCAUUUGUUUCUUCUGUUCCACCUGUGCACAGUUGUAGACAUAUUUAUUAUGUCUAUGAUAUAUUUACAUGCUCAUAUCAUUGAAAUGUGUAAUUGAUUUUUUGUAACAAAUUGACAACUUUCAACAAUGGAUCUCUUGGUUCUCGCAUCGAUGAAGAACACAGCGAAAUGUGAUAAGUAAUGUGAAUUGCAGAAUUCAGUGAAUCAUCGAAUCUUUGAAUGCAUCUUGCGCUCCUUGGUAUUCCGAGGAGCAUGCCUGUUUGAGUGUCAUAAAACUAUCAAAGCACUUUAUUUUGAGUGCAUUUGGAUAGUGGGAGUGCUAGUUAGCUCUUCUGAAAAAUAUUGGCUUAGAUGGACAAUUGGUGUGAUAAUUUCUGCACCUUGAAAUGUCUAUCGGUUCUUUUUUAUGAUUCAUCUGACCUCAAAUCAGGUAGGAUUACCCGCUGAACUUAAGCAUAUCAAUAAGCGGAGGA